CUGCUAGGAAACUUUGCUGGCACAUAUACUAAAAUUGGGAGGAUGUAGCAAAGAUUAGCACGGCCCCUGUGCAAUGAUGACAUCAAUUUUAUAUAAUGCUUCUUUUUUUUU
rnacentral:snRNA from 1 species